rnacentral:rRNA from 1 species
UCGAGAAUCAUUCACAAUGGGGGAAACCCUGAUGGUGCGACGCCGCGUGGGGGAAGAAGGUCUUCGGAUCGUAAACCCCUGUCAUGUGGGAGCAAGCAGCGAUGUAGAUAGUACCACAAGAGGAAGAGACGGCUAACUACGUGCCAGCAGCCGCGGUAAUACGUAGGGAGCAAGCGUUGUCCGGAUUUACUGGGUGUAAAGGGCGUGUAGGCGGAGUGAUAAGUUAGAUGUGAAAUCUGGGGGCUCAACCCCCAAACUGCAUUUAAAACUGUCACCCUUGAGUGAUGGAGAGGCAGGCGGAAUUCCUAGUGUAGCGGUGAAAUGCGUAGAUAUUAGGAGGAACACCAGUGGCGAAGGCGGCCUGCUGGGCUUUUACUGACGCUGAGGCUCGAAAGUGUGGGUAGCAAACA